UGCUUAGGAAUCUGCCUAUUAGUGGGGGACAACAUUCCGAAAGGAAUGCUAAUACCGCAUACGCCCUACGGGGGAAAGCAGGGGAUCUUCGGACCUUGCGCUAAUAGAUGAGCCUAAGUCAGAUUAGCUAGUUGGUGGGGUAAAGGCCUACCAAGGCGACGAUCUGUAGCGGGUCUGAGAGGAUGAUCCGCCACACUGGGACUGAGACACGGCCCAGACUCCUACGGGAGGCAGCAGUGGGGAAUAUUGGACAAUGGGCGCAAGCCUGAUCCAGCCAUGCCGCGUGUGUGAAGAAGGCCUUUUGGUUGUAAAGCACUUUAAGCGAGGAGGAGGCUACUUGGAUUAAUACUCUAGGAUAGUGGACGUUACUCGCAGAAUAAGCACCGGCUAACUCUGUGCCAGCAGCCGCGGUAAUACAGAGGGUGCGAGCGUUAAUCGGAUUUACUGGGCGUAAAGCGUGCGUAGGCGGCUUUUUAAGUCGGAUGUGAAAUCCCUGAGCUUAACUUAGGAAUUGCAUUCGAUACUGGGAAGCUAGAGUAUGGGAGAGGAUGGUAGAAUUCCAGGUGUAGCGGUGAAAUGCGUAGAGAUCUGGAGGAAUACCGAUGGCGAAGGCAGCCAUCUGGCCUAAUACUGACGCUGAGGUACGAAAGCAUGGGGAGCAAACAGGAUUAGAUACCCUGGUAGUCCAUGCCGUAAACGAUGUCUACUAGCCGUUGGGGCCUUUGAGGCUUUAGUGGCGCA
rnacentral:rRNA from 4 species